rnacentral:rRNA from 1 species
AGAGUUUGAUCCUGGCUCAGGACGAACGCUGGCGGCGUGCCUAAUACAUGCAAGUAGAACGCUGAAGGAGGAGCUUGCUUCUCUGGAUGAGUUGCGAACGGGUGAGUAACGCGUAGGUAACCUGCCUGGUAGCGGGGGAUAACUAUUGGAAACGAUAGCUAAUACCGCAUAAUAUUAAUUAUUGCAUGAUAAUUGAUUGAAAGGUGCAAAUGCAUCACUACCAGAUGGACCUGCGUUGUAUUAGCUAGUAGGUGAGGUAACGGCUCACCUAGGCGACGAUACAUAGCCGACCUGAGAGGGUGAUCGGCCACACUGGGACUGAGACACGGCCCAGACUCCUACGGGAGGCAGCAGUAGGGAAUCUUCGGCAAUGGACGGAAGUCUGACCGAGCAACGCCGCGUGAGUGAAGAAGGUUUUCGGAUCGUAAAGCUCUGUUGUAAGAGAAGAACGAGUGUGAGAGUGGAAAGUUCACACUGUGACGGUAUCUUACCAGAAAGGGACGGCUAACUACGUGCCAGCAGCCGCGGUAAUACGUAGGUCCCGAGCGUUGUCCGGAUUUAUUGGGCGUAAAGCGAGCGCAGGCGGUUAGAUAAGUCUGAAGUUAAAGGCUGUGGCUUAACCAUAGUACGCUUUGGAAACUGUUUAACUUGAGUGCAAGAGGGGAGAGUGGAAUUCCAUGUGUAGCGGUGAAAUGCGUAGAUAUAUGGAGGAACACCAGUGGCGAAGGCGACUCUCUGGUCUGUAACUGACGCUGAGGCUCGAAAGCGUGGGUAGCAAACAGGAUUAGAUACCCUGGUAGUCCACGCCGUAAACG